CGAGCGAGUCAGAAAAAGAACAUCGCCCGAUCCCUAGUCGGCAUAGUUUACGGUUAAGACUACGACGGUAUCUGAUCGUCUUCGAUCCCCUAACUUUCGUUCACUGAUUAAUGAAAACAUCCUUGGCAAAUGCUUUCGCAGUAGUUAGUCUUCAAUAAAUCCAAGAAUUUCACCUCUGACAAUUGAAUACUGAUGCCCCCGACUGUCCCUAUUAAUCAUUACGGCGGUCCUAGAAACCAACAAAAUAGGACCGCACGUCCUAUUCUAUUAUUCCAUGCUAACGUAUUCGAGCAAAGGCCUGCUUUGAACACUCUAAUUUUUUCAAAGUAAAAGUCCUGGUUCCCCAACACACCCAGUGAAGGGCAUGAGGUUCUCCAGAAGGAAAGGCCCGGCCGGACAAGUACACGCGGUGAGGCGGACCUGCCAGCCAGGCCCAAGUUUCAACUACGAGCUUUUUAACUGCAACAACUUUAAUAUACGCUAUUGGAGCUGGAAUUACCGCGGCUGCUGGCACCAGACUUGCCCUCCAAUUGUUCCUCGUUAAGAGGUUUAAAUUGUACUCAUUCCAAUUACAAGACCCAAAAGAGCCCUGUAUCAGUAUUUAUUGUCACUACCUCCCCGUGUCGGGAUUGGGUAAUUUGCGCGCCUGCUGCCUUCCUUGGAUGUGGUAGCCGUUUCUCAGGCU
rnacentral:rRNA from 2 species